CCCUUAGAUGUCCUGGGCCGCACGCGUGCUACACUGGCGCAUACAGCGAGCACUUUCCAGUUCCGAGAGGCUACUGGUAAUCAUCAAUAUGCGUCGUGAUGGGGAUAGAUCUUUGGAAUUCUGGAUCUUGAACGAGGAAUGCCUAGUAAUCGCAGGUCAUUAGCCUGCGAUGAUUAAGUCCCUGCCCUUUGUACACACCGCCCGUCGCUACUACCGAUUUCGAGUGGUCAGGUGAAUCUUUCGGACUGUGGGCGCCCUUGAGGUGUUCGCGGAAAGUCAGGUAAAUCUUAUCACUUAGAGGAAGUAAAAGUCGUAACA
rnacentral:rRNA from 1 species